rnacentral:rRNA from 1 species
UACGAAGGGUGCAAACGUUGCUCGGAAUUACUGGGCGUAAAGCGCACGUAGGCGGAUACUUAAGUCAGGGGUGAAAUCCCGGGGCUCAACCCCGGAACUGCCUUUGAUACUGGGUAUCUCGAGUCCGGAAGAGGUGAGUGGAAUUCCGAGUGUAGAGGUGAAAUUCGUAGAUAUUCGGAGGAACACCAGUGGCGAAGGCGGCUCACUGGUCCGGUACUGACGCUGAGGUGCGAAAGCGUGGGGAGCAAACAGG